CCGCAGUGUACAAGUGACUGUACGGAACCUUCGUCGCACAGCAUUAUCCGGGGAAAUUGAUUGUCGUUGCACCGGUGUCGGGAAGUGCGCAUGUUUUGAAAGAUGGCGGACGUUCCUAACGAUGCACCAGAACACUGUCCCGGCACAAGCAGUGACCAGGCUGGUAAAUCAUCAGCAUGUCAAGGAUGCCCAAACCAAAACAUAUGUGCUUCUGGUGCUGCCAAAGCUCCUGAUCCAGCCAUAGAGGAAAUCAGGCAGAAACUGAGCUCUGUAAAGCACAAGAUUCUGGUUUUGUCUGGAAAAGGGGGUGUUGGGAAGAGCACGUUCAGUGCACAUUUGUCUCAUGCAUUGGCUAGUGAUGACUCUAAAGAGGUUGCACUGCUAGAUGUGGACAUCUGUGGACCAUCUAUACCAAAAAUAAUGGGGUUAGAGGGGGAGCAGGUUCAUCAGAGUGGCUCAGGCUGGUCUCCAGUGUAUGUUGAGGACAACUUAGCCGUCAUGUCCAUCGGCUUCCUGCUCAGCAGUCCAGAUGAUGCUGUUAUCUGGAGAGGCCCCAAAAAGAACGGCAUGAUAAAGCAGUUUCUGAGGGAUGUGGACUGGGGAGAAGUGGACUAUCUGGUCGUAGACACGCCUCCAGGAACGUCUGACGAGCAUUUGUCUAUCGUGCAGUAUCUCAGCGGCGCUGGCAUCGACGGAGCCGUCAUCAUCACCACCCCGCAGGAAGUAUCUUUGCAGGACGUGAGAAAAGAGAUCCGAUUCUGUAAAAAGGUCAAAAUACCCAUCAUAGGUGUGAUUGAAAACAUGAGUGGCUUUGUUUGUCCCAAAUGCAAGAAUACAUCACAGAUAUUUCCUCCGACCACAGGAGGAGCACAGAGAAUGUGUGAAGAUCUACAUCUCCCUCUUUUGGGAAGAAUCCCCUUGGAUCCACGGAUAGGUGCAAAGAGCUUUAAUCUUUUACCAUUCACAAGAAACACAGACAUUUUAAACCAGGGAAAAGCUGUGACGAGGGAAGGUCUUUCCUGAAUGAAGUUCCAGACUCUCCCGCUGCAGUGGCCUAUCAGAAUAUUUUCCAGAAAAUCAGGGAUUACUGUUCUUCCCAUUCUGCACUGGAUGAUCCUUGUUGACGCUGAAAAGCACAUCAGAUCUUUGUCCAGGCAGCUCGGGCGUCCGAUGUGUUCAUAGAGCGGUGUCAUGUGAUCAAUCAGUCACCAUGACUUUUGCUUUCUGCUCACCACACCUGCUCACCUUUAUAAACUCGUCACAGGGCAAACGUAAAAAAAAGUCUGAUAUACCUGGGCUCCCUUCAAAUCGUCGAGGGUGAAAAUAUAUAUUUUUUGAGAUUUGAAAAAUAGUUUGUUACAAUAUAUCAAAAAAUGAAUUCAUGUUAUGCGUCAGACGUUAGAGAUCGCAAUCCAGGUGAUGAAUAUAAACGCGUUCGUUGUACUCGAUGAAAGUGAAACCAAAAUGUAUUUAUCACUAUAAUGACAAUCGACAUGUUUCAGCAGAGCAGAAGAAAUGAUGUUUAUUAUCGAAAAAGGCAAUGUGCACCAUACAUUGGCUUCUCGUUAAUGAGAUGUUAUGGCUUGUAAUGUUUAAUCUUUGCGAAUAAAUCUCUUACGAUAACAAUGUCUAAA